rnacentral:rRNA from 1 species
UACGGAGGGGGCUAGCGUUGUUCGGAAUUACUGGGCGUAAAGGGCGCGUAGGCGGCCUGCUAAGUCGGACGUGAAAUCCCUCGGCUCAACCGAGGAACUGCGUCCGAUACUGGUGGGCUUGAAUCCGGGAGAGGGAUGUGGAAUUCCAGGUGUAGCGGUGAAAUGCGUAGAUAUUGGGAAGAACACCGGUGGCGAAGGCGGCCAUCUGGACCGCAACUGACGCUGAGGCGCGAAAGCGUGGGGAGCAAACAGG